UACGUAGGGUGCAAGCGUUGUCCGGAAUUAUUGGGCGUAAAGAGUUCGUAGGCGGUUUGUUAAGUCUGGUGUUAAAGACGGGAGCUCAACUCCCGCAUGGCAUUGGAUACUGGCAGGCUAGAGUGUGGUAGAGGUCUCGGGAAUUCCUGGUGUAGCGGUGAAAUGCGUAGAUAUCAGGAGGAACACCAAUGGCGAAGGCAGCACUCUGGGACGGUACUGACGCUGAGACGCGAAAGCGUGGGGAGCAAACAGG
rnacentral:rRNA from 1 species